GGGCCUGUAGCUCAGUGGUUAGAGCGGAGGACUCAUAACCCUUUGGUCGCGGGUUCAAACCCCGCUGGGCCCA
rnacentral:tRNA from 1 species